AAUCCUGAAGGGCCCCAGUUAAAUCUUGGGGAGCCAAGUUUAAUUCUGUGAGAGCCCCACUUUGAUUCCAGAGAGUCCAGUUCGAUCAUGAAAUCCGGAACCUGAACAGCGGCUUCUCCCGGCUCCGGACAUUGGUGCCGCUGGUGCCGCGGGACCGCAGGCCCAGCAAGGCCGACACGCUGCGGGCGGCGGCCCAGUACAUCCAACUGCUGAGGGGAGUGCUCAGGGACUGCCAGCAGCUCGAUGCUGAUGCUGAGCAGCAGUUGGGGGACACUGGGGGGGUCCCACCGGGGGG